AUUGAACGCUGGCGGCAGGCCUAACACAUGCAAGUCGAGCGGAUGAAGGGAGCUUGCUCCUGGAUUCAGCGGCGGACGGGUGAGUAAUGCCUAGGAAUCUGCCUGGUAGUGGGGGAUAACGUCCGGAAACGGGCGCUAAUACCGCAUACGUCCUGAGGGAGAAAGUGGGGGAUCUUCGGACCUCACGCUAUCAGAUGAGCCUAGGUCGGAUUAGCUAGUUGGUGGGGUAAAGGCCUACCAAGGCGACGAUCCGUAACUGGUCUGAGAGGAUGAUCAGUCACACUGGAACUGAGACACGGUCCAGACUCCUAAGGGAGGCAGCAGUGGGGAAUAUUGGACAAUGGGCGAAAGCCUGAUCCAGCCAUGCCGCGUGUGUGAAGAAGGUCUUCGGAUUGUAAAGCACUUUUAGUUGGGAGGAAGGGCAGUAAGUUAAUACCUUGCUGUUUUGACGUUACCAACAGAAUAAGCACCGGCUAACUUCGUG
rnacentral:rRNA from 1 species